UACGUAGGGUGCGAGCGUUAAUCGGAAUUACUGGGCGUAAAGCGUGCGCAGGCGGUUCUCCAAGUCCGUUGUGAAAGCCCCGGGCUCAACCUGGGAAUGGCAGUGGAAACUAGGGGACUUGAAUCUGGCAGAGGGGGGGUGGAAUUCCACGUGUAGCAGUGAAAUGCGCAGAUAUCAGGAGGAACACCGGUGGCGAAGGCGCCACUCUGGGCCGGUACUGACGCUGAGGGAGCGAAAAGCGUGGGGGAGCAAAACAGGA
rnacentral:rRNA from 1 species